rnacentral:lncRNA from 12 species
GUUUAAUGUUCUAAGCUAAUGUUUAAGCAUUAACCUUUUUAUUCCUUUGCUUUAAUAUACUCUGCCAGAGACUUUAAACCACAAAGUCACAUUGAUUGGUUUAAAGACUAAGGUAUAAAGACUGCAUUGCUGAAAGACAAGCAAAACAUUUUCUUUUUUCAGAGGGUGGAGCUUAAUAUCAAGAUGCUGGAAAAUUUUAAUCUGAGAGAGGAUAUCAGAAUGCAAAGGCAUCCAGUCUGAAUGAUACUCAAGUCUUUCAGAUUCUUCUACAGAUUUCUGCUACCAUGAUUAUUUUCACUCUCCUCAGUUUUUUGUGGAUAUGUUUAGGUAACACAGAGGCGGACACAAUAAAACCCUUGUCACUGAGUGAAAAUAGACAUGUUGGUGAAAGUGUUAAUCUGUCCUGCAGUUACAAAGACUAUACUGGUAAUAUACAGAAUUUACAAUGGUACAGACAGUAUCCCAGAUCCAAACCGGAGUUCCUCCUUUACAUCUUCCCACAAGGACUUUUAAGUGAAGACAGACCACCCAGCUUUACUGCUGCAGUUAAUCAAGACAACAAACAAGUGGUUCUGAAUAUCUCCUCUGCUGUAGAGACAGAUUCUGCCAUUUACUACUGUGCCCUGGUGCCCACAGUGACAGGAAACCCACCUGCUCUGUACAAAAACAUAAUACAGUAACACAACAUUAAACCAAAAUUGUGACACACCAUCUUCAAAUAAUGCACAGUAAAUGAUUGAUGCAACAGUUUUUUUUUCUUCUGUAAAUCUAAUGAAACACUGUGAAGUCUUUUAAUUUUGAGAGAAAAACAGCCCAUCAGGGAAGAAGAUAAAGCCUCAGCCAAAGGGUGGAGCAAAAUCACAGAUUGAAUGCUUUUGAAAGGCUGAUUCAUUUAGUCAUCCUGCUUUGAUAGCUUUACAAUCACUCUUCAUCAGAAACCAUCAUGUUUCUGUUUUGUUGGAUACCGCUGUCAUUAUUCAUAGGUACAUUUUUUUUUAUUUAAAAAAAAAAAUAUUUUUACUUGACUAAAUUUCCCAUUACAAUGCACAUUACACAAAACAAUCACAUUGCCAACAAGUUANAAUAUU